rnacentral:rRNA from 1 species
UGGCUCAGGAUGAACGCUGGCGGCGUGCUUAACACAUGCAAGUCGAAACGAGAAUCUGUGGAAAGAGGAUUCGUCCAAUUGAAGCAGAGGACAGUGGCGGACGGGUGAGUAACGCGUGAGGAACCUGCCUUUCAGAGGGGGACAACAGUUGGAAACGACUGCUAAUACCGCAUAACGCAUUUGUAUCGCAUGGUACGAAUGCCAAAGAUUUAUCGCUGAAAGAUGGCCUCGCGUCUGAUUAGCUGGUUGGUGAGGUAACGGCCCACCAAGGCGACGAUCAGUAGCCGGACUGAGAGGUUGAACGGCCACAUUGGGACUGAGAUACGGCCCAGACUCCUACGGGAGGCAGCAGUGGGGAAUA